rnacentral:antisense_RNA from 1 species
AUAGAGCAACAGCUUCUAUGCAGAUUCAGUGGGCCCCGUUAAUCUUCUCCAGUCGCCAAACUUAGCGAAGAUUAUCGGGGUUUUCUUUU